rnacentral:misc_RNA from 1 species
AACAAGGCGUACCUGCGGACCUGCGGAAGGAUCAUUACUGAGUGCGGGCCCGCUCCGGGCCCAACCUCCCACCCGUGUCUCUUGCGUACUUUGUUGCUUUGGCGGGCCCACCGGGUCACUCCGGUCGCCGGGGGGCGCUAUGCUCCCGGGCCCGUGCCCGCCAGAGCACCCCUGUGAACCCUGAUGAAGAGAGGCUGUCUGAGUCCCACGAUAAUCGUUAAAACUUUCAACAAUGGAUCU